UUCACACCCCGCCACUCCUGAGCACCGCACACCGGCUUCCUCCCAGUCCCUCAUCUGAGAACUCAUGAAGCCACUUGGAAUCCCUCUCUGCUUUGCCUGGCUCAUUCCAUGUCAAUUUCAGAUCUUCGCUUCAGGUCAGCUCCAAGGAGGCUAUCCUUGCCCAUCUUCCUAAAAUAGAGCUCUCAAAACCUGGCUGUUUUCCUUCAGAGCACUGGCCUCCAAUUUAAAUCCCAACUAAGGUACCUGCCGUCGGCAGAUUUGAGCUUUCUUCUUGGACACGUAUUACCCACAGUCCUCCAGACUCUGGUAGAUUGCAUAUAACCUGCUUUCUUUCUGUUCCCGGGCGGCAUCAGACCCGUCGGAGAGUAAAUCCCAAGUAAGGUACCUGCCGUCGGCAGAUUGG
rnacentral:antisense_RNA from 1 species